rnacentral:rRNA from 1 species
UACAGAGGUCCCGAGCGUUGUUCGGAUUCAUUGGGCGUAAAGGGUGCGUAGGUGGCGCCGUAAGUCGGGUGUGAAAUCUCGGGGCUUAACUCCGAAACUGCAUUCGAUACUGCCGUGCUUGAGGACUGGAGAGGAGACUGGAAUUUACGGUGUAGCGGUGAAAUGCGUAGAUAUCGUAAGGAAGACCAGUGGCGAAGGCGGGUCUCUGGACAGUUCCUGACGCUGAGGCACGAAGGCCAGGGGAGCAAACGGG